AAAGGAAUUGACGGGGGCCCGCACAAGCGGCGGAGCAUGUGGAUUAAUUCGAUGCAACGCGAAGAACCUUACCUGGGUUUGACAUGCACUGGAUCGCCCCUGAGAGGGGGUUUCCCUUGUGGCUGGUGCACAGGUGGUGCAUGGCUGUCGUCAGCUCGUGUCGUGAGAUGUUGGGUUAAGUCCCGCAACGAGCGCAACCCUUGCCCUAUGUUGCCAGCGGGUGAUGCCGGGGACUCGUAGGGGACUGCCGGGGUCAACUCGGAGGAAGGUGGGGAUGACGUCAAGUCAUCAUGCCCCUUAUGCCCAGGGCUUCACACAUGCUACAAUGGCCGGUACAGAGGGCUGCGAGAUCGUGAGGUUGAGCGAAUCCCUUAAAGCCGGUCUCAGUUCGGAUCGGGGUCUGCAACUCGACCCCGUGAAGUCGGAGUCGCUAGUAAUCGCAGAUCAGCAUUGCUGCGGUGAAUACGUUCCCGGGCCUUGUACACACCGCCCGU
rnacentral:rRNA from 1 species